AGUGAACGCUGGCGGUAGGCCUAACACAUGCACUUCGAACGGCAGCACAGUAAGUGCUUUCUCUUACUGGUGGCUAGUGGCGUACGGUUGAGGAAUACAUCGGAAUCUACUUUUUCGUGGGGGAUAACGUAGGGUAACUUACGCUAAUACCGCAUACGACCUUCGGGUGAAGGCAGUGGAUCUUCGUACCUUGCGCGAUUGAAUGAGCCGAUGUCGGAUUAGCUAGUUGGCGGGGUAAAGGCCCACCUAGGCGACGAUCCGUAGCUGGUGUGAGAGGAUGACAAGCCACACGAGAACUGAGACACGGUCCAGACGCAUACGGGAGGCAGCAGUGGGGAAUAUUGGACAAUGGGCGCAAGCAUGAUCCAGCCAGACCGCGUGGGUGAAGAAGGACUUCGGGUUGUAAAGCCCAUUUGUUGGGAAAGAAAAGCAGAAGGUUAAUACCCCGCUGUUCUGACGGUACCCAAAGAAUAAGCACCGGCUAAAUUCGUG
rnacentral:rRNA from 1 species